AUCAGACAGAACGUUGUGUUCUAAGACAAAGAUCGAUGUCAUUCUAUUCAUAGAUGGCCAACCAGUUUAUCAUAGAGUUCAAACAUACGGUCUCAGUAUAAGAGAGUAGGAUCUCAUAAUGGAGAGGCAUAGUCUAUAUCUCUUCUGUAGAUGGUUAGCUUUCCUGCCUCGUUGUCUCAUGAGAGGAAAGGAAGGGGGAACACACUUGCAAAUUCUCAAAACCGAUGUCAUAAUGCAACCAUCGCCCAAAACCCCAUCGAAAUGAACAGUACUCCACUGCUUCUCUCUCAGAACUCAGCAAACAACAACUGGGUAUAUCGGAGAUAUACAUCAGACUCUUCUCCGACGUUGUCGUCUCCCUCAAUCGCGGUAGAAGGACCAAUGAAUCAUAUACUAAAGACAAGGAUGAAGCACCUCUCCCUUCCUGCCUAUCUUCUGCCUCAUAUUUGCCGACAUCAAAUUAUCUGGAUACAGGAGUUAUCGUUGAUUCGUACAGACCAUUAUCCACCGAAGGCUUCCCUAUCGAUUCAAUGAUGUUACCAACAUUCUCUUCCCUCGCAUAGCAUAGCUAAGCACCGAUCUCCCAGUUAAUUUGUCAGCUUUGGUGGUGUCAUCGAUGAAUUUGAAUUUUUUCAUUGCUUCAUAUCAUUGGACAAAAAGGGAGAAGGGAAAGAAUUACAUCUCAUCUAUAGUGUGGUUGCAUCGUGACGUAUGGGUGGUGUUGUCGUCAGCGCUUAUCGAUAAGCUGACCGAUGACGAUAGCUGCGUAUGCUUCUCCAGUCAGUCAGUAAUCACAAGCCAAAAACUGCAACUCGCUAUGCUACGGUUGCAGAGUUACAAUUACACCGGAAAAUAAGUGAGAAGAUGAAGCUUAUCAAUAAAGAUCAUGUAUGUAAAGUAAACUAACUAAUGCGACGCGAUGCAAUGCAAAGCAAGCAAGCAAAGCGAUGUAAAUGCUAUCCUAUGUAUGUAAAUGCAAACGCUAACAGAUAUGCCACGCACAAAACAAACCUCAGAAACAACAAAUAUGGUAUCGUAGCGAUAUCGGGGUAUUAGAAAUAGAAUCAAACAACAAGUGCGUACAUGAGGGGUAUAUAUCUCGAAAGAAAAAUGGUAUCAGGCAGCAAGAAAGAUAAAAAGUAAAAUCAAUCCGGAAGCAGUAAACAAACUCCAUCGCUGGUGGGAUGAACAGAUAGCCCAAAAUGACGACAUUCACUAACUAUUAUGGAGGGGUAAAAUUUGUAAUGGAUAAAAAGGGAAACACAUGCCAGAUACGGAAUGUCGGAUAGGUAGCGAUGGAGGAGUGAGUCACUGAGAUGAGGAGCGGUGAAGAGUCACGAGUGUUUCAGUUGCCUCUGUUGUUGUCUCGGAGGACGCUGCACCGAAAAGGGAAAAAGAGGUAGCCGCGGGUCGCGCUCUGUAUUGUCAAUACGGUAUUGUAUUGUAUGACAGUGGAAACGGUCUAACGGGAGGGUAUUGGGGUAACGGCAAAUUAGCCGUUACGGACCAGGGUUAGGCCAGGCGUAAGGUCGCCGCGCCGUUACAUCCGUUCAUUCACCGAUAGAAAUGAAUGAACAGAGGAGCUGGUGGUGUAAUGUCGAGUAGACCAUCGUUGGGUGUUGGUGGUGGAGGUGGUGGUGGCAGUGAUGAUGGGG
rnacentral:lncRNA from 1 species